UCGUAACAAGGUCUCCGUUGGUGAACCAGCGGAGGGAUCAUUACCGAGUUUACAACUCCCAAACCCCUGUGAACAUACCUUACUGUUGCCUCGGCGGAUCAGCCCGCUCCCGGUAAAACGGGACGGCCCGCCAGAGGACCCCUAAACUCUGUUUCUAUAUGUAACUUCUGAGUAAAACCAUAAAUAAAUCAAAACUUUCAACAACGGAUCUCUUGGUUCUGGCAUCGAUGAAGAACGCAGCAAAAUGCGAUAAGUAAUGUGAAUUGCAGAAUUCAGUGAAUCAUCGAAUCUUUGAACGCACAUUGCGCCCGCCAGUAUUCUGGCGGGCAUGCCUGUUCGAGCGUCAUUUCAACCCUCAAGCCCUCGGGUUUGGUGUUGGGGAUCGGCGAGCCUUUCUGGCAAGCCGGCCCCGAAAUCUAGUGGCGGUCUCGCUGCAGCCUCCAUUGCGUAGUAGUAAAACCCUCGCAACUGGAACGCGGCGCGGCCAAGCCGUUAAACCCCCAACUUCUGAAUGUUGACCUCGGAUCAGGUAGGAAUACCCGCUGAACUUAAGCAUAUCAA
rnacentral:rRNA from 1 species